AUCCUUUUGUAGUUCAUAAGUGUGAUAAUUGGGUUUUCAUGUGCAUACGUGAGAUGUGCCUCCCACAGAUCUUAUUACGACGCUGGCACAUUACCCAUCUGACA
ensembl:snoRNA